rnacentral:rRNA from 1 species
AGUGGGGAAUAUUGGACAAUGGGGGCAACCCUGAUCCAGCAAUGCCGCGUGAGUGAUGAAGGCCUUCGGGUUGUAAAGCUCUUUCGCCCACGACGAUGAUGACGGUAGUGGGAGAAGAAGCCCCGGCUAACUUCGUGCCAGCAGCCGCGGUAAUACGAAGGGGGCUAGCGUUGUUCGGAAUGACUGGGCGUAAAGGGCGCGUAGGCGGCGCAUCAAGUCGGGCGUGAAAGCCCCGGGCUCAACCUGGGAACUGCGUUCGAGACUGAUGUGCUGGAGUUCGGGAGAGGAGAGUGGAAUUCCCAGUGUAGAGGUGAAAUUCGUAGAUAUUGGGAAGAACACCGAUGGCGAAGGCAGCUCUCUGGACCGAUACUGACGCUGAGGCGCGAAAGCGUGGGGAGCAAA